rnacentral:rRNA from 1 species
AGAGCGAACGCUGGCGGCAGGCCUAACACAUGCAAGUCGAGCGCCCCGCAAGGGGAGCGGCAGACGGGAGAGUAACACGUGGGAACGUACCCUUCAGUUCGGAACAACCCAGGGAAACUUGGGCUAAUACCGAAUACGUCCGUAAGGAGAAAGAUUUAUCGCUGAAGGAUCGGCCCGCGUCUGAUUAGCUUGUUGGUGAGGUAACGGCUCACCAAGGCUACGAUCAGUAGCUGGUCUGAGAGGAUGAUCAGCCUCACUGGGACUGAGACACGGCCCAGACUCCUACGGGAGGCAGCAGUGGGGAAUAUUGGACAAUGGGCGCAAGCCUGAUCCAGCCAUGCCGCGUGGAUGAUGAAGGCCUUAGGGUUGUAAAGUCCUUUCGACGGGGAAGAUAAUGACGGUACCCGUAGAAGAAGCCCGGCUAACUUCGCGCCAGCAGCCGC